rnacentral:rRNA from 2 species
GGGCGUUAAGUUGCAGGGUAUAGACCCGAAACCCGGUGAUCUAGCCAUGGGCAGGUUGAAGGUUGGGUAACACUAACUGGAGGACCGAACCGACUAAUGUUGAAAAAUUAGCGGAUGACCUGUGGCUGGGGGUGAAAGGCCAAUCAAACCGGGAGAUAGCUGGUUCUCCCCGAAAGCUAUUUAGGUAGCGCCUCGUGAAUUCAUCUCCGGGGGUAGAGCACUGUUUCGGCUAGGGGGCCAUCCCGGCUUACCAACCCGAUGCAAACUGCGAAUACCGGAGAAUGUUAUCACGGGAGACACACGGCGGGUGCUAACGUCCGUCGUGAAGAGGGAAACAACCCAGACCGCCAGCUAAGGUCCCAAAGUCAUGGUUAAGUGGGAAACGAUGUGGGAAGGCCCAGACAGCCAGGAUGUUGGCUUAGAAGCAGCCAUCAUUUAAAGAAAGCGUAAUAGCUCACUGGUCGAGUCGGCCUGCGCGGAAGAUGUAACGGGGCUAAACCAUGCACCGAAGCUGCGGCAGCGAACGUAUCACCCAAGACAACUUUACGGAGUUGACGAUUGACGGAGCGAAGCGACGUCAAAGCGUUCAUUAAAGUCGAGUUGGCUUAGGGAUACGUUCGUUGGGUAGGGGAGCGUUCUGUAAGCCUGUGAAGGUGUGUCGUGAGGCAUGCUGGAGGUAUCAGAAGUGCGAAUGCUGACAUAAGUAACGAUAAAGCGGGUGAAAAGCCCGCUCGCCGGAAGACCAAGGGUUCCUGUCCAACGUUAAUCGGGGCAGGGUGAGUCGACCCCUAAGGCGAGGCCGAAAGGCGUAGUCGAUGGGAAACGGGUUAAUAUUCCCGUACUUGGUGUUACUGCGAAGGGGGGACGGAGAAGGCUAUGUUGGCCGGGCGACGGUUGUCCCGGUUUAAGCGUGUAGGUGUGUGUUCCAGGUAAAUCCGGUUCACUUUAACACUGAGGCGUGACGACGAGGCACUACGGUGCUGAAGCAACAAAUGCCCUGCUUCCAGGAAAAGCCUCUAAGCAUCAGGUAACACGAAAUCGUACCCCAAACCGACACAGGUGGUCAGGUAGAGAAUACCAAGGCGCUUGAGAGAACUCGGGUGAAGGAACUAGGCAAAAUGGUGCCGUAACUUCGGGAGAAGGCACGCUGACACGUAGGUGAAGUGAUUUACUCAUGGAGCUGAAGUCAGUCGAAGAUACCAGCUGGCUGCAACUGUUUAUUAAAAACACAGCACUGUGCAAACACGAAAGUGGACGUAUACGGUGUGACGCCUGCCCGGUGCCGGAAGGUUAAUUGAUGGGGUCAGCGUAAGCGAAGCUCCUGAUCGAAGCCCCGGUAAACGGCGGCCGUAACUAUAACGGUCCUAAGGUAGCGAAAUUCCUUGUCGGGUAAGUUCCGACCUGCACGAAUGGCGUAAUGAUGGCCAGGCUGUCUCCACCCGAGACUCAGUGAAAUUGAACUCGCUGUGAAGAUGCAGUGUACCCGCGGCAAGACGGAAAGACCCCGUGAACCUUUACUAUAGCUUGACACUGAACAUUGAGCCUUGAUGUGUAGGAUAGGUGGGAGGCUUUGAAGUGUGGACGCCAGUCUGCAUGGAGCCGACCUUGAAAUACCACCCUUUAAUGUUUGAUGUUCUAACGUGGACCCGUAAUCCGGGUUGCGGACAGUGUCUGGUGGGUAGUUUGACUGGGGCGGUCUCCUCCUAAAGAGUAACGGAGGAGCACGAAGGUUGGCUAAUCCUGGUCGGACAUCAGGAGGUUAGUGCAAUGGCAUAAGCCAGCUUGACUGCGAGCGUGACGGCGCGAGCAGGUGCGAAAGCAGGUCAUAGUGAUCCGGUGGUUCUGAAUGGAAGGGCCAUCGCUCAACGGAUAAAAGGUACUCCGGGGAUAACAGGCUGAUACCGCCCAAGAGUUCAUAUCGACGGCGGUGUUUGGCACCUCGAUGUCGGCUCAUCACAUCCUGGGGCUGAAGUAGGUCCCAAGGGUAUGGCUGUUCGCCAUUUAAAGUGGUACGCGAGCUGGGUUUAGAACGUCGUGAGACAGUUCGGUCCCUAUCUGCCGUGGGCGCUGGAGAACUGAGGGGGGCUGCUCCUAGUACGAGAGGACCGGAGUGGACGCAUCACUGGUGUUCGGGUUGUCAUGCCAAUGGCACUGCCCGGUAGCUAAAUGCGGAAGAGAUAAGUGCUGAAAGCAUCUAAGCACGAAACUUGCCCCGAGAUGAGUUCUCCCUGAGACUUAGAGUCUCCUGAAGGAACGUUGAAGACGACGACGUUGAUAGGCCGGGUGUGUAAGCGCAGCGAUGCGUUGAGCUAACCGGUACUAAUGAACCGUGAGGCUUAACCUUACAACGCCGAAG